GAAGUGGUUUUGCUGAGACCCUCUGAUUUCUAAGCCCAGACUCUUGACCACAAGGCUGCUCUUUUCUGCCCCCGGGCCCAGGCAUGGCGACCAGCAGAGCUGGAGUAUUCAGAGCUGGGCUAAAUGCUGGUGCGGGGAGGAGGGGGAUGGGAGCGU